rnacentral:lncRNA from 1 species
CCUGUUCUUUUUAGUGACGCUGCGAUCACUUCCGGCGAUCAAAAAUCAGUCAUCGAACUAGGCAAGAACAAAAGUGCGGUAAUAAUCAAGUGACGCUGCAAUCAACUUUUACAAAGAUUUCCGGUGGCUAUUCUGACGCUGUGUAAAGUAGCGUCACCUAAAAGGGUGAAGCGACUGCUUCUGGGCGUCAAAAGUACCGCCGCCGGUGGUAGUCUCCACAUACUUGGGCAAGAAGUUAGUUAUAUUUUUGAUCGCAAGUCGCUGACGCAGCGUCUCUGAAAAGAACA